UUAAGCGACUAAGCGUACACGGUGGAUGCCCUGGCAGUCAGAGGCGAUGAAGGACGUGCUAAUCUGCGAAAAGCGUCGGUAAGGUGAUAUGAACCGUUAUAACCGGCGAUGUCCGAAUGGGGAAACCCAGUGCAAUUCGUUGCACUAUCGUUAACUGAAUACAUAGGUUAACGAGGCGAACCGGGGGAACUGAAACAUCUAAGUACCCCGAGGAAAAGAAAUCAACCGAGAUUCCCCCAGUAGCGGCGAGCGAACGGGGAGCAGCCCAGAGUCUGAAUCAGCUUGUGUGUUAGUGGAACGGUCUGGAAAGUCCGACGGUACAGGGUGAUAGUCCCGUACACCAAAAUGCACAGGCUGUGAACUCGAAGAGUAGGGCGGGACACGUGGUAUCCUGUCUGAAUAUGGGGGGACCAUCCUCCAAGGCUAAAUACUCCUGACUGACCGAUAGUGAACCAGUACCGUGAGGGAAAGGCGAAAAGAACCCCGGCGAGGGGAGUGAAAAAGAACCUGAAACCGUGUACGUACAAGCAGUGGGAGCACCUUCGGGUGUGACUGCGUACCUUUUGUAUAAUGGGUCAGCGACUUAUAUUCUGUAGCAAGGUUAACCGUAUAGGGGAGCCGCAGGGAAACCGAGUCUUAACUGGGCGUUAAGUUGCAGGGUAUAGACCCGAAACCCGGUGAUCUAGCCAUGGGCAGGUUGAAGGUUGGGUAACACUAACUGGAGGACCGAACCGACUAAUGUUGAAAAAUUAGCGGAUGACUUGUGGCUGGGGGUGAAAGGCCAAUCAAACCGGGAGAUAGCUGGUUCUCCCCGAAAGCUAUUUAGGUAGCGCCUCGUGAAUUCAUCUUCGGGGGUAGAGCACUGUUUCGGCUAGGGGGUCAUCCCGACUUACCAACCCGAUGCAAACUACGAAUACCGAAGAAUGUUAUCACGGGAGACACACGGCGGGUGCUAACGUCCGUCGUGAAGAGGGAAACAACCCAGACCGCCAGCUAAGGUCCCAAAGUCAUGGUUAAGUGGGAAACGAUGUGGGAAGGCACAGACAGCCAGGAUGUUGGCUUAGAAGCAGCCAUCAUUUAAAGAAAGCGUAAUAGCUCACUGGUCGAGUCGGCCUGCGCGGAAGAUGUAACGGGGCUAAACCAUGCACCGAAGCUGCGGCAGCGACACUAUGUGUUGUUGGGUAGGGGAGCGUUCUGUAAGCCUGCGAAGGUGACCUGUGAGGGUUGCUGGAGGUAUCAGAAGUGCGAAUGCUGACAUAAGUAACGAUAAAGCGGGUGAAAAGCCCGCUCGCCGGAAGACCAAGGGUUCCUGUCCAACGUUAAUCGGGGCAGGGUGAGUCGACCCCUAAGGCGAGGCCGAAAGGCGUAGUCGAUGGGAAACAGGUUAAUAUUCCUGUACUUGGUGUUACUGCGAAGGGGGGACGGAGAAGGCUAUGUUAGCCGGGCGACGGUUGUCCCGGUUUAAGCAUGUAGGCUGGUUGUCCAGGCAAAUCCGGAUAAUCAAGGCUGAGGUGUGAUGACGAGGCACUACGGUGCUGAAGUAACAAAUGCCCUGCUUCCAGGAAAAGCCUCUAAGCAUCAGGUAACAUUAAAUCGUACCCCAAACCGACACAGGUGGUCAGGUAGAGAAUACCAAGGCGCUUGAGAGAACUCGGGUGAAGGAACUAGGCAAAAUGGUGCCGUAACUUCGGGAGAAGGCACGCUGGUGUGUAGGUGAAGUCCCUGCGGAUGGAGCUGAGACCAGUCGAAGAUACCAGCUGGCUGCAACUGUUUAUUAAAAACACAGCACUGUGCAAACACGAAAGUGGACGUAUACGGUGUGACGCCUGCCCGGUGCCGGAAGGUUAAUUGAUGGGGUUAUCCGUAAGGAGAAGCUCUUGAUCGAAGCCCCGGUAAACGGCGGCCGUAACUAUAACGGUCCUAAGGUAGCGAAAUUCCUUGUCGGGUAAGUUCCGACCUGCACGAAUGGCGUAAUGAUGGCCAGGCUGUCUCCACCCGAGACUCAGUGAAAUUGAACUCGCUGUGAAGAUGCAGUGUACCCGCGGCAAGACGGAAAGACCCCGUGAACCUUUACUAUAGCUUGACACUGAACAUUGAGCCUUGAUGUGUAGGAUAGGUGGGAGGCUUUGAAGCGUGGACGCCAGUCUGCGUGGAGCCAACCUUGAAAUACCACCCUUUAAUGUUUGAUGUUCUAACGUUGGCCCCUGACCGGGGUUGCGGACAGUGUCUGGUGGGUAGUUUGACUGGGGCGGUCUCCUCCCAAAGCGUAACGGAGGAGCACGAAGGUUAGCUAAUCCUGGUCGGACAUCAGGAGGUUAGUGCAAUGGCAUAAGCUAGCUUGACUGCGAGCGUGACGGCGCGAGCAGGUGCGAAAGCAGGUCAUAGUGAUCCGGUGGUUCUGAAUGGAAGGGCCAUCGCUCAACGGAUAAAAGGUACUCCGGGGAUAACAGGCUGAUACCGCCCAAGAGUUCAUAUCGACGGCGGUGUUUGGCACCUCGAUGUCGGCUCAUCACAUCCUGGGGCUGAAGUAGGUCCCAAGGGUAUGGCUGUUCGCCAUUUAAAGUGGUACGCGAGCUGGGUUUAGAACGUCGUGAGACAGUUCGGUCCCUAUCUGCCGUGGGCGCUGGAGAAUUGAGGGGGGCUGCUCCUAGUACGAGAGGACCGGAGUGGACGCAUCACUGGUGUUCGGGUUGUCAUGCCAAUGGCACUGCCCGGUAGCUAAAUGCGGAAGAGAUAAGUGCUGAAAGCAUCUAAGCACGAAACUUGCCCCGAGAUGAGUUCUCCCUGAGACUUUAAGUCUCCUGAAGGAACGUUGAAGACGAUGACGUUGAUAGGCCGGGUGUGUAAGCGCAGCGAUGCAUUGAGCUAACCGGUACUAAUGAACCGUGAGGCUUAACCUU
rnacentral:rRNA from 1 species